CUGGCUUUCAAGGCAGACUGCACCAGAUCUGGAAGGACCAGUGAGUGGGCAAACAAAUUGGUUAGGAAUGGACAUGCUGUUGCUCCUGGCUCCCUGUCCUGCUGCCUGAUUUGCCUGAAUAGGUGGGAGUUGAGGGCAUUUAUUGGCACAAAAUCAGGUGGGAGUUUUAAUCUGUUAUGUAUGAGUAAGUAAUACAUUUGUAGAUAUAUUUCUUGAGGGCAUCCAGCCUCCAAAAUGUGAGAUUAGCAGAGAAGAAUAAUUUAUCCAGCUAUACAAUGAAAGCAGAACUGAGUCUUCGCUGCCAACCCCAUUAACAUCGCCACAGUUUCUACACUUGUGACAAUUUAGGAGCGAAAGGGACAAAACACUGCACGAGGAAGCUGUGGCUGAAAUGUUUGCUGGGUGAGAGCAUCACAGAGACCAUGGAAGGAGAGUGGAAAGAGCUUUGCAGGAAGCUGCAAGCAUCCUCACUGGGCUGCUGAGGACCAAAAUUAGCAUUUCCUCAUCCAGUUUUUGGGAAGAAGGCUCAAGUUUCUGCUGCUAGAAGGUUUUUAUGUAAAAAGUGAGCCAGCUUGAGCAUCCCCUCAGGACACAUGGGCAGCCAGCAACAAGUGC